AAAUAAGAAACAAAUAAUUGUAUUUAGUUUCGACCUAAAAUUUUGGUGCGCACCCACCCUUAUUUA
rnacentral:tRNA from 1 species